rnacentral:rRNA from 1 species
UGGGGAAUAUUGCACAAUGGGCGCAAGCCUGAUGCAGCCAUGCCGCGUGUAUGAAGAAGGCCUUCGGGUUGUAAAGUACUUUCAGUCGGGAGGAAGGUGGUAAGGUUAAUAACCUUAUCAAUUGACGUUACCGACAGAAGAAGCACCGGCUAACUCCGUGCCAGCAGCCGCGGUAAUACGGAGGGUGCAAGCGUUAAUCGGAAUUACUGGGCGUAAAGCGCACGCAGGCGGUCUGUCAAGUCGGAUGUGAAAUCCCCGGGCUCAACCUGGGAACUGCAUUCGAAACUGGCAGGCUAGAGUCUUGUAGAGGGGGGUAGAAUUCCAGGUGUAGCGGUGAAAUGCGUAGAGAUCUGGAGGAAUACCGGUGGCGAAGGCGGCCCCCUGGACAAAGACUGAAGCUCAGGUGCGAAAGCGUGGGGAGCAAACAGG